AUUUGGUUAGGAUUUGGUUUAAAAUUAGGAUUUGAAUUUAGAUUUUGAUUUAAGAUUUAGGAUUUGGUUAGGAUUUGAUUUAAGAUAAGAAUUUAGUUAGAAUUUGGUUUAGGAUUUAGGAUUUGAUUUAGAAUUUAAAGUUUGGUUAGGAUUUUAUUUAAGAUUAAGAUUUGAUUUAGGAUUAGGAUUUGAUUAGGAUUUAAUUUAGGAUUUAAGAUUUUAUUAGGAUUUAUUUAGGAUUUAAGAUUUAGUUAGUUUUUGGCCUAAAGUUUGAAUGAAGUCCAAUGGAAUUUUAACUAGGAUUAAAUUAAGAUUGAAUUGAGAUGUAUUUGACAUAUAUUUGUGAUCAUUCUAAUAUUUUUUUAAGAUUUUUUAUUAUUUCUUUAUAAUUCCUUUGAGAUUUCUUUGAAUUUGAUUAAAGCUUUUUUAGCAUUGUUAUAGUCUAAUUAGAAUUUAAUUAGUGUUCUAUUAGAGUUAGGAUUUUAUUGUUACAAUUUCUAUUCUACCUUCUA
rnacentral:lncRNA from 1 species